rnacentral:rRNA from 1 species
GAAGACUCUGCUUGACUAGCUGAGAGAGGUGCAUGGCCGUCGGUCAGUUCGUACUGUGAAGCAUCCUGUUAAGUCAGGCAACGAGCGAGACCCACGCCAACAGUUGCCAGUCAUGUCCUCCGGGAUGAUGGGGACACUGUUGGGACCGCUCUGCUAAAGAGGAGGAAGGGAAUGGGCAACGGUAGGUCAGCAUGCCCCGAAUUAUCCGGGGCUACACGCGGGCUACAAUGGUCAGGACAAUGGGUAUCGACACCGAGAGGUGGAGGCAAUCUCCUAAACCUGUCCUUAGUUCGGAUUGUGGGCUGCAACUCGCCCACAUGAAGCUGGAAUCCGUAGUAAUCGCGUUUCAAAAUAGCGCGGUGAAUAUGUCCCUGCUCCUU